AUAAAAGCAUAUGCAAAUGGGGUUUUUAGUCUCUUCCUUUCUAAUCAUAGACGUUGCUGGAGAGCUUGAGUGUUCCUCUUGAAGACAGGGGAUGGAUGUUCCCCCUGACACUGCAUGCCAUCUCCUUUCUGACAGCAGGGCCUAGAUUGAAGGAGUGACAUAUGGAAAAUAAAAUCAUGCAAAAGGGUUGACUGAAGAGGAGGAAGGAAACAUGAGGAGGAAGAAAAAAAAACCCAUGGAAUUGGAAAAGAUAAAGUAAAAUGAAUUUUUAGGAUGCCACCGUGGGUAAGAGCUGGGGAAAAAAAUGAUUCUAGGCUGAUUUAUUAUGUACUUAUCUUCUGUCUGAAAGGCUGUAUGCGUUUAUGUAGUGGAAUUUUGUAGAGAAAAUGGCACAUUAAAGAUACAUUCAAGAUGUUUAAGCUUAUUGAAUGACAUUAUAGUUAAAGCAGGUGAGACUUUUGUCAUGAUCUAUAAAUAUAAAAAUGUCAGUGUUUUGGAAAUUUUUUCAUUGCUUUAGUUAAGAUGUGUUUCUUAUCUGUAAUGAAAAUGUUUUUAACCUUUUAUUUCUGUAGGGGAAAAUGCAUCUUGAGAAACAGAUAUGGUGAUAAAGUAAUUUACUUUGGACUCCAGAGUUAUAGUCUCUGUUCAUUUAGUCAGUCAUAUACUUAUCUCCAGUAGAAAUGGGCUAAAAGCAUAUUUGUACACAUUGGGCAAUCAAAAUAUUGUUAUAUUGGGCUUUCAACUGGGGAUUCAAUUAUGGAAAAAGUCUCAUUUUUGGCUUAUUGCUCCUCUUCUCUUGUUCUUAUGUUUGAGCUUAUGUUUUUUUUUGACGUGGAGAGCAUAUUUAUUUUUAUUUUUUUUCACAAAGAAGAAUUCUGCUUCUAUUCUGAAUCUUUUUUGUGUAUCAUCCUGUAAUCAUCAGAGCCUUUUCUUCUAUAGCUGUUAAGUGGGCUUACCUAAUUUUUCACUUCUAAAGAUAUUUCUGCUUGCUGACCAUCAUUUCAUUUAAUUCUCCUUUGCUACAUAGAUCUCCAAGUUUAGAUUCUUAUCACAGAGGGUAGUUGUUUAAGAAUAAAUCCUUUCCUGUAUUGGUGUAUCUCGUGGUAGUACUGUGCUGAGGCCAUGUGUAAACAGAUAAGCAUGAAUUUAGGGAUGAGAUCAACUUUCCAUCAUUUAGUUAUUUUUAGUGAAAUGCUCAUUUUCUCAAAUAUUACUUUUUGUUUCAGUAUGAUAGCCUCGCCAAGGCUCCAAAUUUAAAAUGCAUAAAUAAUAACAUAAAAAAAAGAAAUAUAAUAGUUUAGCACACAGUUGGGAAUGUAAUUGUGAAGAUAAUGACAAUUUGUUUGUUUAGGUUUUCCCCCCUUUCCCUCCCCCUCCCUCCAUCAUGAUAGAAAUGUUUCUCUUUUUUUCUGGCAUUCAGUAUCAUUCUAGUACAUGUUUUUUACAUCAAUAUCUCUUGCUCCAAAUGCCUAAUGAAGACCUUUGAGACAGAAUCUCUGUCAAUAUGCUAUCUCUCUGAUGAGCUGGGGUCUAGAUAGAUGUUCUUGGAAUGAAAUAUCUAAAAGUUUGUUUUGGAGUGGUUUGAACUUAGCAAAUAGUGUUGGUCCCUUUCUAAGUUUAUCCUGUGUGAUCUGGUCAAUGAUAUAUCCCUACCUUCUUCUCUGUCUACCACCUUUAAGAUGUUUUAAGAUAUCCUGAGAAAAGAAACUAGGAAAAUGACAAAGGGUGACUUUUAGCAGGGAUACUAGGAUAAUAUUUAAUGCAAUUCAGCAAGGCAGUUCGAUAGAUAAAGUUUUGAAUCUAGAAUGUGGAAGUCCUGAGUUCAAAUGUUAUCUCAGACUUUAUUUACUAUGGAACUCAGACAGAUUACUUAAUCUCUAUAUAGUUUUUUAGUUUCCUCAACUGUGAAAUGGGAAUAAUUAUAGCGUCUACUUCCCAGAGUUAUUGUGAGGAUAAAAUGAAAUAAGAUUUUAACAGUGCUUUGCAAAUCUUAAAACAUUAUAGUAUUAUUAAAUGUCUAUCAUGUGCCAGUCACUGUGCUAGGUGCAGAGGAAACAGAACGGAAAUAUUUUUAUCGUUAAAGAGACUGCAUUUGAAUAACAAUGACAACCACAAAAACAAUAAUGCUUUUUUUGAUUAUAGGGUAUUGAGAAUUGGAAAUGACCUUAGAGUUCCUUUAAUGAAUUCAUCAUUUUUUUUUUUAUGGCACUGAUAGAGAGAUUAAAUUGUUUGUUCCAGGUCCCACAAGUAGUAACUGAUGGAGACAGAAUUCAAACUCAGCUGUCUUGCCUCCAAAUCCAGAGUUCUUUGUACUGUAUCACAUCACUUUGGUUGAAACAAUCUAAUUUACAUGAUCCUUUUGAUCUUCACUGUCAACUUGCAAAGUCUUUUUAUUUUGUAUUAUUCUGAUUUUACAGAUGAAGAAACUAGGUCUCACAGGAUAAAUGACUAGUGAAUAAUCAAAUAGAUUGAUUUUGUUUUAUCACUCUUUACUUGCCCUCUCUUCUUUUUUUUUAUUUUAAGGUACUUUUUUUUUCUGGUCCAUGAAGUUUGUUUAUUUAGGAGAUUACUAUUUAGGAUCAAGUCUCAUUCUAAAUGACAUUUUGAGGUUCUGCUCAGAACUGUUCUUUCUUGCACUGUUAAUAUUAUAGAUUCAGCCAAAAAGAGCUUUUAUUUUGUUGCUCAAUCGUUCGGUCACAUUCAGCUCUUUGUGAUGCCGAUGGACCAGAGCACAUCAGACCCUUCUGUCCUUCACUAUCUUUUGAAGUCUGUCCAUGUUCCAGAGCAGUAGAUCAUAAAAGAGUCAAAUUCCUGAAUUUGAGUAAUGGAGUUAAGAUGGAAACAUAAACUACUUUAAAACUGUUCCCAGGCAAUAAGAAAAUGCUAUCUUGAUUUUAUCAUUGGUAUGGAGGAAACAACAGUUGCUUGAUGUCUUAGCUCUUUUAAUUGCAAAGAACUAUUCAAAUUGCUCAACACUUUUUCCCCCAAGUAUAUAUCACUUAGACCUUGUCAGAGACAUAUUUUGUGUGUGUGUGUGUGUGUGUGUGUGUGUGUGUGUGUGUGGUUGGUGUAAGGGUUGGAGAGAAUAAAAGUAUCCAAAAGUCCCAAUGCCAUUUAGAAAUUCAAAUGUGUAUAAAUGAAAUGUCUUCCUUUUAUAACAAACUUUUAAAUCCUUUAUCAUAAAUAAGAAAGGGAAAUCGAAUUACCUUGUCAGCUAUCCUUUUGAAUGCAACCUUUUCCUUCAAUCUCACCAUCUUUAGAAUUUUCUUUGAAAAGAAAGGGAUAAAAACUUUUCUAUCUCCUCAAAGUAUGAAUCUAUGACCUCUUUUCCACUGUUGCUGUUGUUCCAGUGAUGUCUGACUCUUUGUAUCACUAUUUGGGAUUUUCUUGGCAAAAUUACUAGAGUGGCUUGCCAUUUCAAUCUCCAGCUUAUUUUACACAUGAAAAAACUGAGGGAAAUAGAGUUGGUUAAGUGACUUGCUAAGAUUACAUAGCUAGUAAGUGUUUGAAGCUAGGUCAUCCUGACUUCUGGUCUGGUAUUCUAUCUGUUGCACCACCCAGCCUCUCUCUACCCUCACCCCCAAAUCUGAUAACUUCACUUUAAUUUUUAAUUAUUGUCAUGGGGCUGAAGAUUUCUUUUCUUUAAAUAUAAAAAGCAAUGGAAUUAAUUAAUAAAUUUACUUAUUUAUCUAUCUAUUUAUUUAUUUUUUACUGAGGCUAUUGGGGUUAAGUGAAUAACUUAUGUCACACAACCAGGAAGUGUUAAGUAUCUGACACUGGAUUUGAACUCAGGUCCUCUUGACUCCAGAGUCAGUACUCUAGCCCACUGCACCACUUAGUUGCCCCGCUGAAAAUUUCUUUAGCUAAUUCUAUAAAAUCCUUUUUUUUUUUUUUAAUUCUAUAAAAUCCUGAGGUGAUUGCACAGACCUAUAAUCCCUGUUACUGUGGAUGUCCAUGCUGGUUUCAUCUGUGUUUGGGAAGCUUCUUUCACCAAUGUACUAAAUAAGGCUUCUGAUGUGUAGUAGAGAACACCCGUUUGGCCAGUGAACUGACCUAGAAAACAGAGCUGAUUAAAGUUUCUGUUCUGAUCAGCUGAGUGACCAGGCCACCAGGCUUUUGAGCUACUGUUGCACUUCCACUCUGGGUUGGAUAGGGAAACCCAGCUUUAUAAAUUAAUAAAAACCUUUAUGCAAGAGUCACACAUAGAUUUAUAAUUCUUAGUUCUGGAAGGAAUCUCAAGAAUCAUCUCCAUUAGAUUUCUAACUUUAACAAUAUAUAGCAUUUAAAAAAAAGUUUGGAUCUAUGGUUUUAUUUGUGUUUAGGAAAUGUCUUCCACCAAUGUAGAUCAGUCACUCUUUCAUAACUUAUAGUUUUAAGGAGUUGUGUGGGGAGGCUGAGUGAGUAAAGGACUUGGCCAUGGUCACCUAGCUAGUACAUGCUAGAGGAAGGCUUUGAACCCAGGUAUUUCUGAUUCUCGCUAGCCUUCUAUCUACUAUGCCAUACAGCAUUACAUAGGCUAUAUGCUAAAUUAUAGUAUGAUUAUCCCCAUUUUCAAACAGAACAACUCAGACCAGGAGAUGUCAAAUGAUUUACUUAGUCCUAAACCCUAAUGAGAUUGGCCUGUGUCCUAGUAUCACUCAUUUUUUUUUUUCAGGCUACAUGUAAUACAUGAGCUAUUUUUAGUUUCUAUGUUUGAUUCCACUUCUGCCAUUCUACCACAGACUGGGAAUCCAUCCCAAUCUCCCUCCUUCCUCUCCUCUAUUCUUCCCCCCUGUGGGGGGAAAAUGUAUUUAAAUCAUAAUAACACAUACAUGCAUAAGCUAUAUCCCAUUGUUAGUGGGAUGGAACCAUAUUUUAUUUCCAGGGCCCCAUUGCUACUAAUUAAUCAGCUUCCAUGAUAAACUCAUUUGGGUGGCUUGUGGAUUUUAUUUGCAGUUACAGAAGAGCAAUUCCAGUUAGUUAACAGGCACUUAAAUGACAAUCCAGCUCUGUGGUGCCAUAGAAAGACUAAGAAAUGAUUUCCUAAGGAAGGGAGUAAUGACAGCAACACAAAGAAACCAAGCAGAUAGAAAUCUGGGGUGACUGGGAGAAAGCCGAGAAUUUACAUGACUCAUUAACUCGAUGGCUCUGGGAACAUUGGGUUCAUUUACCAUUAAAACACAACAUCAUCUUGCAAUUCAGAGGGAGAUGGAUGGAAACGUCUGCUGGUAUUUAAUUUUGCUUAGUUGCUGUAUAAAAGGAUUUUCCUUUUGUGAGAGCAACUUAUUCCAAUGAUUAUACCUGUUACCAUGAUUGGCUAUUAAGUGCCCAAUUUUAUAGGAAUAGUUGUUUCUUGUGUGUAGGAAUGUGUCACUAAAUGACCUCCAAUGGCAGACAAAGAAUCAAUUAAAAUGGAGCUAAGGCCCUAUUAGUCCUUUGGGAAGGGACAUAUUUCCUCUAGGGCAAAUAUCAUUUAAGAGUCCUACAUUUAAGGAUGGAGAGAUAUUAUUUUUGCACAUUUAUUUUUGGUAAUGGUGAUUAUAUCCACUUAUUGAGUCUGGAAAACUACUCACUGGAAGGUAGUACUAGGGAGAAAGGUACUGUAUAAAGUGCCCUGGCUCUGGAAUCAGAAUUCCUUGGUUCAAAUCCUAUUUGAUCCUUACUAUUUAUGUGAACUUGGGCACGGACCUUAACUUCUUGGGACUAUCAUAGCUGUAAAAUAAGGGAGUUGGACAAAGGGACCCCUAAAGUUCCUUCUAAUUCUAAAUCUAUGAUUCAUUUAUUUCAAGAGGCAGACAGAGAAACAACAAUAUGUCAUCUACUACUGUUGAAAUGGGCAUAAUUGGAUGGCUGUGGCAGCUGUUUACUCUUUUGGUCUGCCUUGGCUACCUCAUGCCUGAGCAGAUCAUGUAAAUUGUUGUAGAGGACUUGUCCUGACUUUUGGUUAAUAUCAUGUAUGUAUGUAUGAAUAUAUAUAUUCACACAUACAUACAUAUAUCUAUAUGUAUGUAUAAAUAAUUUUUUUUGGGGGGUAGCUUUUGCCUGUAGGUUCUUCAGCAGUUAACUUUGGACCAGAGGUAGCAUGGGAAAGUAGGAGAUAAAAGUAGGAGAUGGCUCAUUUCUGCUUACUCAAUCAACCUAAUAAAAAAUUAGGCUUUUUAGGUUCUCAGAUUCCUUGCCCUUUCUUGCUACAUUUUGACUUUUUCCAUCUUACUAAUCCCUUCCACAUUUCGACUUUCCCCACUGAGGUUUUGAUAUAUCUUGAGUCAGCAUAAUACAUUUUUGAAAAUUGGAAUUUUGGGGGGAGUUUUGUGGAAGUCACAGAGGACAUACAAAGGCUAGCAAAUGACACAGAAAAAGUUUAAAAACUCAGAAAUGCAUAAAAUAUGCCUAUGACCAGAUACUUAACCCAAAUUUUAUAAUAAGGUGUUAUGAAUACUCCAUAAAAGAAAAAGAAAAAAAAAUCAGAACUUCUUCUCUGGUAUGGACAAAAAAUUUUACGUGAAUUUUCCAAAUCACAGGGCUACUACAUCCCUAACUCCCUCAAGGUGGAAGGGAUAACUUAUGUGCCCCUAUUUCAUGUGCUGAUUUUUCUCUUUUUUUGGCUUUCAGUGGAUGGGCAUAGGCAGGAUGAGAUGAAAGUGAGGAGAGAGAAAUGAGUUCUUGCAUAUUUAUAUGUAGUAGAGGAAUUUUUUGGGAAAAUAAGCCCCAGGAAAUUAAUGAAAAUCUUUUUCCUAACUGAAGGUCAACUCCAUCCUUACAUCUGAUUUUGACAAAGGUCUGAUAACACAUCUAACCAAUCAUUCUGGGAAGAGUACUAGGCAAGAUGAUGGGCAGGUAUGCCUUUACACCAAUAGAGAACAGCUAACUAUAUCAGUGGCUGAAGAUUAAACAGUUUGAUAGACUAGGCUGCCUGCUAGAAGAUGCCAAUUCAGGUUUUUAAGCUCCAGAGAUUGUGGGAGGGUAUGGUUCCAGUUUUGGUUCUACCACUGACUACUUGAGUGAUCUUGGACAAGUCACUUAAUUUCUUGGUAUCUCAAUUUCAGAACCAUUUUAGAUGCAGGGUCUUUUGGUUAUAGCAGUUAUUGAUGAAUAUCUUUUGGGUUAAGGAAGAGUUUUGAUCUCUGUCAGGAAAGGGAAUAUUUACUUGAUGAAAUGUUAGAUCUUUGAAGUAUUGGAGGAAUAGUUAAUAAGCAAUUACUAUUCACCUUCUGUAUUAAUCACUGGGACUACAAAUACAAGCAAAAAGAAAGAUGGCACCUUACACAAGGAACUUACAUUCUAAGGGGUAAAUACAAUAUUUAAAACAAAUAUGAGUGUGUGUGUGUGUGUGUGUGUGUGUGUGUGUGUGUAUGAUGUAUAACAAAGGUACCUGUUGUUAGGGCAUGGUACAUGACUGUAGCCUGGUGAGGAAUGAGAUGUGACUGACCAAGGUUACACAUCUAAUCCUCAAUCUAAUCGUCUAAUCUAAAGAAUGGCCUCAGAGGCAGAGCUCUGGUACUUUCAAUGUAGGAAUUCCAAAGUUGGAAUGAAGAUUCACGACAAAUAGCUAGGCCAUGGUGGAGAAGAUCAAAAAUGUAUCUUAGAGAUAAAUAAGAGGCAAUAUAUGUAAUAUAUGAUGAUAGGCAAUUAUAGGACAAAUUUAAGGCCAUCUUCAAAAUAUAUGGUUUUAGAAAUGUGAUUUAUAAGAGCAUCAGUUUUAUAUUUCAAAAAUAAUGGGUACUGUAUAUCCAGAUUUCCGAAUGAGGAUUUAUGGUAAUGUUUAUGCCAUAGUAAAUGAUGUUUAAACAAAGCUAAAAUUCCCCAUAGUUGUUGACUCCUCAUUUGUGGAAACACUUUAAGCAAAUACAAAGUGUGAUUAAAAAUUCAAUUCAACAAGCAAUGAUUAAGUGCCUAUUAUGUUCCUUCCAGUCAUUAUGCUAAGAACUGGGGACAUAAAGACAAAAAUAAAGGUCUGUUCUCUCGAUUAGGCAGGAGAGUGAAGAUAAAGAGGUGUAUGAAGAUAAAUAUCCAAAAUUUAUACAAAUGGUUUGGCUUUUUUUUUUUGAGGUUGAGAUGGGAUGCAAAGAAUGAUUAAAAGGUGCUUAUAUUAUACAGUCUGGGGUUUGGAUAGAAUGUUUCAACUCGGAAAGUCACUUAACUUUAAAAGGAUUUUUGAUUUAUAAAGUUGUGCCAUAUCUAUAACUUGUUAUUAAAAGUUUUAUGCCAGUAAAGGCCAGGUUGUCCUCAUUAGGAGUCUAUUUACUCAUCCAAUAGCAAAUUACAUGUCUCUCUUGCCAGAUGAGGUCUGUGGUAACAAUUUUUCUGUGUCCUUACACUUUGGUCCAAAUACAUCAAUAGAAAGGGAAAGUUUUUUGAAAACAAAAGUUAAUUGUCCUUUUUCCAGUCUUUUAUUACAACACACUAGUGACUAAAUCAAGAAAUUCCACUUAUAUCAUUAGGGAACAAUUUGAAAAGUUCAUUUUUCAAAGACAAAUCAUACAUUUGCACAAUAGAGAACUGUAGUAAGGAUUUGUGUUAGAAAAAUUAGCUUCUUAUUGAUUUAGGAGAAAUACAGUUUUCUUGGACAAUACACUGGGGAAAGUUCAGUAAUGGAUAUAGCUGUAGAGAUGACAAAUGUAAAUGUUUGGUGCUUAAAAAGAAAUUAAAGCCUUUCAUUUUGUCCACUUGCUCCUGUUUUUUCUGACCACAAAUCUCCUGGAGCCAGCAAAAGGAUUCAUAACAUAUAGUUAUUAUUGGCAAAUACAAGGCUAUUACUUUCUGGGGAUUGACAUUCCAGCUUCCUUUCUGAGGCAGGGAAAUUGUUCUAGCCCUCUAGUUUAAUUUCAGUUUUGUGCAGCUGGUUCAAAAAGCCCAAGAAAAACACAACCUCAGUUAGGACACCAUUGCAGAAACAAGCAGAAGAUGAAGGGCAGCUUUUGGACAGUGAAAUGUACAAUUUGCUAAUCAUUGAACUCCAACAUUGUCAUCGUCACCAUCAUCACCACCAUCAUCAUUACGAACAUUAAUAUGGGACUCCCUAAUUUUUUUAGAUCUGGGGGAGAUAAUAAUAAUAAUAUUUAUAUAGCACUCCCUAUGUGACAGGCACUGUGCUAAGUGCUUUACAAAUGAGGAUCUCAUUUGAUCCCCACAACAACCCUGCAAAGUAGGUAUUACUAUCCCCCUUUUAUGAGAAAACUGACAUUUGAAACAAUUAAUCAUCUAAAAACUUGUCCUUUCUGUUUUCAAGCCAUCUUUCCAUCUUUUGAUCCUCUGACAAAGUCUUCUGGAUCUGAAAAUCAUCUGUAUCUUCAAAGGACCACCUCCUUGGAAUCUCUCAACAAGCCCUGGCUUUCAUAUAUGUAGAAAAUCUACUCACCAAAUACAUUGGAAAAGCAAUAUUGACUCUGUGUCUAUGGCUUCUGCUUUGAAAUAUUACCUUUCUGGGAAGUAUCCUAUCAAAAAUUAUGGGAGAUCAGGGCAGCUAGAUGGUAUAGUAGAUAUGCUGCUGAAUCUGGAGUCAGCAAACACAUGGGAAAAGCACCAGACUUUGAAGCGAGAAGAAGGGAGGCAGAAUUUAGAGAACCUGUAUCUUCAGCUUUGAGAACUGAAUUCCAUGGGUUGUUUUUGUAUCACACCUAUGAAACUCAGUUCUUCAGCUGGGAUAUCUCUGCCAUCACAGACAAAGGAUGAAAUAGGAAGCCUGGAACAUGGACCUGUGGGGAUCUUGGCAGAUAAGAAACAAGGAGAUAGAUUCUACAGGAACAAGAAAUGGAGGACAUUUUCUAUUGGAAAGAGCAGUGAACUAGGAGUCAAGAGUCCUAGUCCUGUAUCUGGCUACAUCAUGAACUGGUGGUAUGAUUUUGAGUAUGACAUUUAUAAUUUUUACAUUUUAAGUCCCUCAUCUGUGAAAUGAAUUAGAACUACACUUAUGUCUUACUCUAAUGCCUUAUUGCAAUGUGGAGGUAAUUCUGAGUUCUCAAAAGCAAUACCAGUGGAGAACAAGUUUGGAAAAUUAUAUGUCUUGGAAAGGAUUGAGUCUGAAUUCAAUGACAGACUGUAUGGGUUGACUGAAUGUUGACAGCCAAGUAAUGACUUUUUUUUUUUUUUGCUCAGAAUGAUUCAUUCUUUCUAUUAAAGUAUAGGGGAAAGAUAGCAAUGGGUAGUGGAGAAGGGAGUGUCCUCAGUGAUGAAAUCAUAGAUCUCCUGAAAUAUAAAGUGUUUUUUCAGAGUGUAAUGAAGAACAAACAAGAUAAUGCAGGUGAAAGUUUUUGAAAUAAAGUAUUAUACAAAUGCAAUGUAAUAUUUUAUCUUGACUCACAAGAUCAUAGAUUGAGCUGACCAAAUUAGAAUCAAUUUACAGAACUAAUAAUAAUAGCUAACAUUUAUGUAGCAUCUAUUAUGUGCACUAAGUAUACUUAAUAUCUCAUUUGAUCCACCACAACAACUCUGAGAAGUAGAUGCUAUUAUCAUCCCCAUUUUACAGUUGAGGUAAAAUUUGAAAUCAGGCUUUCUUAACUUCUAGUUUAUCACUCUAUCCAUUUUAUUAUAUUGACUCUAAUGUUAUUAUGCAAUGUGGAUAGGGCUAAUAGCAAUUAAGUGAUGUUGGCAGGGAGAAGAGGCUUAUAGUUUUGUUGUUAUUAUGAUCUAUAUUAAGGUGUUUAGUAUAAGAUUUCCUCAAGUCACUCUCAUAUCUUACCCACUUCUUUCUUUCCUUCACUGAAGCUGUUUUUGCGGUUAAUCCCAUAAUCAGAACCUUACCUUUGACUUGAAAAAAUCAACUGUGAUCUGCCUAUGCAGUGGUAAGAUGAAUAGAGACUCCUAAGUCAAAUACUUUGUUCAAGGGCUAGGGAGAAGAGCAUGGAUUCUGACCAAGAUUUACAAAUGGAAGUUUUACAAGAAAGAGUGGUUCAGCAGAACUGAUCAUUAUUUAUCUUGACUGCCAGUGUAUACAAUCCUUCUCAUGAAUUGGGGGGAAAGGCACAUUUUCUCAACUUAAUUUUUUAAAACUACUUUAUACACAGAUAAUCUUAGAUCUAGGCUUAUUCAGAAUAGCUGUUUAUAGGUAGCCUAAUAGCUGAAAUCUGGAUUUCCAAAAAAUUAAUUGAGCUAUGGGUGAGAAGAGAUGGAAGAUUAUUCACUUUACAAAAGAAUUUACAAAGAGAUUCUUUUAAACAGUAAACUUUUACUCAUGUUUAAUGAAGAAUUGUUUAUACCAAAAGUAUAGUUAGUCUGUCAUAUACAACUAGGGAAACUAGCACUGUGCUGAGAAGAAACAUGGUCAGAGCAAUUAAUUUUAAGUCUUUGCUGAAGAAGGUGCUGACCUGUUUUUACCACAGUUGGCACAUUGUCUUUACAUAAAUUAGCUCUGAAAGAGAAUUAUCAAGUUCCCAAACCUUCAAGCUAUUUAAAUAAUAUAUUACCAGUUAACAAUAUUUUCCUAAGUUUUAACUUUACACAUUUUUAAAAUCUCUCCAGCUCUUUUCUUCUUUUUCUUUCAUUUGUUCUUUCUGAUCCAUUUAUUCCCUUUCUAGUACAUGGCUACAACUACCAUAAACGGUAUCAUGGAAAUGGAUUCUUUACCCUCUUGGAACAUUGUUCUAGAGAGAACAGUUGCUGUCUUGGGAGGAGAAGAGGGAAGAAGAAAUAUUUGGAAGACAGUUUUGCAAAGGUGAACGUUGAAAACUGCAUUUAUUUGGAAAAACAAGAUAUUAUUAAAAUAAAAAACAAGAAAAAAUAUCAUCCCUAUAUUAAAUAUUUAGAAAAGGAGAUGAUGAAAUCUAAGUUGUCCAUUUAGAGGCCCUAUGCUAAAAUCACUGGUCAAGUAAUCUUCUUAUUGUUUCAUUGAAAUGUAUCAUGUGAGCUUCCUUUGCUGUGUGGUUCCAAGUUAAAACCUAUGCUGACUGAGUUCUGAAUUUAGAUUAUGGGAUAAUAUGAAAAAUUACACAAUUAAAAAUAUACAAAAAUCUAUGGUUCCAUUCCUUACCCAGCACUUAAAAUUUUCCUCUUUCUGUAGAAUGCCUCCACCCCCUCUCUCCUUCAUAGAACAUGGUCAACAGACAUAUCAUAGCUAAAAUAAAAAAAAAACAACAACCUCCCCCCCCCAAAAAAAAAUCUUGUUAAGCUCUCCCAUAUGGAGCCCUCUGUACUACUCUCUCUCCAGACUUUCCCCAAAUACCUUCCAUUCUUGUUUGCAGCUGGGGAUUUUCACAUGGCACUUACCCAUAGAUCAGGGAGAGAGAAUAAAGAAUAAAAGGCCCCAAGCUCUGGACUUAGGAUGUAAACAAGGAAAUCUGGAAACGUGUACAAAGGUUGUUGGUCUCCUUACCUGCUUGGCUUAUCUAUACUAGCCUUUGUAGAAGCUUAUAGUCUAUAGCACUUUGGACCUCCUUUUGUCACAACAGCUGCUUUUGUUCUUAGAUUUAAGUCCAUAGCACUGGCCUCAGUGGCUCUACUGGUUCUGGUCCCAGGAACUGAGAAUGGAAGUGAAAGUUCUGCCAUCUGGCAGAGCUGGUAAAGCCUUACUUGAACCAAAGAAGCUCACUGCCCAAUAUCUUUCCCAUGACCACCCAAGAGUCUGAGUUCUAAAAUCUGCUGCUGAUCAGAGAUUCUCUAUCUUUUUGAAGUGAUUUUCUUUCUUCUGUGUUCCCUUAGUGGUACUCAGAAGUCCUUCUCAAGGGCAAAGGAAAAGGAAAUAAGUAACAUUGAGUUGUCUGUACCUGUAUGAAGAGUUCAACAUAUCUUGAUGUUUCAGAGCUCUUUUUCCCUCAUUCCAAUUUUUCUGGCUCCUUAGGCUGCCACAGAGAAAUCCCCACUUCAUUGAUUUUCAUUGCUACCCUAUUAUUCCAGUAUGUACCAUAAUUAUCUAGUCAUUCUCCAAUUGUUGGACAUAUACAUUUCAAAUUUGAUUAAAAAAAAUCUUUACUGAAGAGCUCAAAUAUUUGUUCAGCAUAGGCUUAAAUUGUGGUGAAAGAAUUCAAUUUAAUUGGACCCAAGAAGUUAGACACUCUGAAAAUCAAAG
rnacentral:lncRNA from 1 species